ACUGGUGAGUAACGCGUGAGGAACCUGCCUUCCAGAGGGGGACAACAGUUGGAAACGACUGCUAAUACCGCAUGACACAUUCGGGCGGCAUCGCCUGGAUGUCAAAGAUUUUAUCGCUGGAAGAUGGCCUCGCGUCUGAUUAGAUAGUAGGCGGGGUAACGGCCCACCUAGUCGACGAUCAGUAGCCGGACUGAGAGGUUGACCGGCCACAUUGGGACUGAGACACGGCCCAAACUCCUACGGGAGGCAGCAUG
rnacentral:rRNA from 1 species